GUAGGUGGGAUGCAGGGGAGCC
rnacentral:miRNA from 1 species